rnacentral:snoRNA from 1 species
AGGAAGAAAUGAUGAUAUCUUUUAUUACCAGUUAUCCCUGACUGAAUUACUGAUGAAAUAGAUUCUGAUCUUCUU